CUCUUAUUCUCUUGGUCUCUUAAGUAAUUAAGCAUGCUUUCUCUUACUGCUGAGCGCAUGGAUUAUGCCAAGAGCCAAGCCACUGCAAAUUAAAGAUGCAGAUUCUUUUUCUGGACAACAGAUGUUUUUGAGUCUGCUUUUCCAAGCUUAGCCACCCUAAGAACCAAGUGAGAUUAAUC
rnacentral:lncRNA from 12 species